rnacentral:rRNA from 1 species
AGAGUUUGAUCAUGGCUCAGAUUGAACGCUGGCGGUAUGCCUAACACAUGCAAGUCGAACGAGGUAGCAAUACCUAGUGGCGGACGGGUGAGGAAUACGUAGGAAUCUGCCCUUAAGUGGGGGAUAACCCGGGGAAACCCGGAUUAAUACCGCAUGAUCUCGCAAGAGCAAAGAGGGGGACCGCAAGGCCUCUCGCUUUUGGAGGAACCUACGUCGGAUUAGCUAGUUGGUGAGGUAACGGCUCACCAAGGCGACGAUCCGUAACUGGUCUGAGAGGAUGAUCAGUCACACCGGAACUGAGACACGGUCCGGACUCCUACGGGAGGCAGCAGUGGGGAAUAUUGGACAAUGGGCGAAAGCCUGAUCCAGCAAUACCGCGUGUGUGAAGAAGGCCUUCGGGUUGUAAAGCACUUUAAGUUGGGAAGAAAAAGCUUCACCUAAUACGUGGAGCCUUGACGGUACCGACAGAAUAAGCACCGGCUAACUCUGUGCCAGCAGCCGCGGUAAUACAGAGGGUGCUAGCGUUAAUCGGAUUUACUGGGCGUAAAGCGUGCGUAGGCGGUUUGAUAAGUCGAUUGUGAAAGCCCCGGGCUCAACCUGGGAAUUGCGGUCGAUACUGUCAGACUCGAAAACGGUAGAGGGAGGCGGAACUCCAGGUGUAGCGGUGAAAUGCGUAGAUAUCUGGAAGAACACCGAUGGCGAAGGCAACCUCCUGGGCCUGUUUUGACGCUGAGGCACGAAAGCGUGGGUAGCAAACAGGAUUAGAUACCCUGGUAGUCC